GCCAUGUGAUGUUUUAGGUUGUUUGCAUUAGAAUCCACGAAUAUGUUGCAUUGCACAUUUUAAUGUUGAUGUGGAUGAAUGUUGGAUGAUCCAUAGCCCUCGAUCUAUGAUAUGACGAUGUGAUAUGUACGGUACGGAAAGUAAGACCAGUGGGACCCAUUCUACGUUCGCUGGCACUAUGUAAGAGAAAGACCAGGACCCAUUCUACGUUCUGGCACAGUUGGACACUGUUAUGUUAUGAUAUGUAAGGGAAAGACCAGGACCCAUUCUACGUUCUGGCACAGUUGGACUAUGUAGAGGGCUAUUGGUGACAAGUUCAUCCUUGAUGUGAUUUAGCUGUGAUGUGAUGCAUUCCAUGAUCCAUAUGAUUUAAAUGUUUUUAUUAUUCUGCUCACUGGGCUCUAGUAGCUCACCCCUCU
rnacentral:lncRNA from 1 species